rnacentral:rRNA from 1 species
UAAAGCCCUUUCAGUGGGAACGAUGAUGACGGUACCCACAGAAGAAGCCCCGGCUAACUCCGUGCCAGCAGCCGCGGUAAUACGGAGGGGGCGAGCGUUGUUCGGAAUUAUUGGGCGUAAAGAGCGCGUAGGCGGCUUUUCAAGUCAGGAGUGAAAUCCUCGGGCUUAACCCGGGAACUGCUCUUGAAACUGGGAGGCUAGAGUCCGGCAGAGGGUGGUGGAAUUCCCCGUGUAGAGGUGAAAUUCGUAGAUAUGGGGAGGAAGACC